CACCAAGAAAUUAAGUCAUUUUAGUUUAUGGUUAAAAGGCAGUUAGAUAAUAUAUUAAAAAUAAAUUUAAGUUGUUUAAUGUUAUAUAUAAAGGUAAAAUUUAAAUAUAAUUGCAUAAUUUAUUAGCAACUUUAAUAACAUUGAAUCUGCGAAAUUCUUGAGGGAAACUGGGAUUAGGUACCCCAUUAUUCUUGAAGGUAAAUUAUAUUAUAUUAAUUACCAGAGUACUAUGAAUUAAAUUAAAUUUAAAACUCAAAGGACUUGGCGGUGUCUUAGACCACUUAGGGGAACCUGUCUCGUAAUCGACAAUCCACGUUAUACCUGACCUUUUUUUGUUAUCAGUUUGUAUACCGUUGUCGUCAGGUAACUUUUUAGAAAAAUGAAGUUAGCAAUAUAAAUAUAUUAUUUAGUACGUCAAAUCAAGGUGCAGCUAAUAGAAAGGAGAGGAUGGGUUACAAUUAUUUAUUUAUAAUUACGGAAGUAAAAUAUAGAAAUAUAUUACAUAAGGAGGACUUGAAAGUAAAUUAGAAUAGACAUAUAAUUUGAAUGAGGCUCUGAGAUGUGU
rnacentral:rRNA from 1 species